rnacentral:rRNA from 1 species
AUGCAGUCGAGCGAGUCCCUUCGGGGGCUAGCGGCGGACGGGUGAGUAACACGUAGGCAACCUGCCUGUAAGACCGGGAUAACAUAGGGAAACUUAUGCUAAUACCGGAUAGAGUGUCUCCUCGCAUGAUGAGAUACGGAAAGAUGGCGUAAGCUAUUACUUGCGGAUGGGCCUGCGGCGCAUUAGCUGGUUGGUGGGGUAACGGCCUACCAAGGCGACGAUGCGUAGCCGACCUGAGAGGGUGACCGGCCACACUGGGACUGAAACACGGCCCAGACUCCUACGGGAGGCAGCAGUAGGGAAUUUUCCACAAUGGACGAAAGUCUGAUGGAGCAACGCCCCGUGAACGAUGAAGGUCUUCGGAUUGUAAAGUUCUGUUGUCAGGGACGAAACCGUGCCGUUUGAAUAAGGCGGCACCUUGACGGUACCUGACGAGAAAGCCACGGCUAACUACGUGCCAGCAGCCGCGGUAAUACGUAGGUGGCAAGCGUUGUCCGGAAUUAUUGGGCGUAAAGCGCGCGCAGGCGG